AUUGAACGCUGGCGGCAUGCUUUACACAUGCAAGUCGAACGGUAACAGGCCGCAAGGUGCUGACGAGUGGCGAACGGGUGAGUAAUGCAUCGGAACGUGCCCAGUCGUGGGGGAUAACGCAGCGAAAGCUGUGCUAAUACCGCAUACGAUCUAUGGAUGAAAGCGGGGGACCGUAAGGCCUCGCGCGAUUGGAGCGGCCGAUGUCAGGUUGGGUAGUUGGUGGGGUAAAGGCCCACCAAGCCAACGAUCUGUAGCUGGUCUGAGAGGACGACCAGCCACACUGGGACUGAGACACGGCCCAGACUCCUACGGGAGGCAGCAGUGGGGAAUUUUGGACAAUGGGCGCAAGCCUGAUCCAGCAAGGCCGCGUGCAGGAAGAAGGCCUUCGGGUUGUAAACUGCUUUUGUACGGAACGAAAAGGUUUGGGUUAAUACCCUGGGCCGAUGACGGUACCGUAAGAAUAAGCACCGGCUAACUACGUGCCAGCAGCCGCAGUAA
rnacentral:rRNA from 1 species